rnacentral:rRNA from 1 species
GAACGGGCCAACGAGUUACGUUAAGUAGCAAGGUUAAGCACUUAAGGUGCGGAGCCGUAGCGAAAGCGAGUUUUAACUGAGCGUUCAGUUACUUGACGUAGACCCGAAACCGGGCGACCUACCCAUGAGCAGGAUGAAGCGAAAGUAAAAUUUCGUGGAGGUCCGAACCCACGAGCGUUGAAAAGCUCGGGGAUGACUUGUGGGUAGCGGUGAAAUUCCAAUCGAGCCCGGAGAUAGCUGGUUCUCCCCGAAAUAGCUUUAGGGCUAGCCUCAAGGUGAGAGAUACGGAGGUAGAGCACUGAAUGUCCUAGGGGGUAUUGCACCUACCGAAGACUAUCAAACUCCGAAUGCCGUCAUCUUAUACUUGGGAGUCAGACUGUGGGUGAUA